rnacentral:rRNA from 1 species
GGAUUGCCUCAGUAACGGCGAGUGAAGCGGCAACAGCUCAAAUUUGAAAUCUGGCUCCCCUUGGGGGUCCGAGUUGUAAUUUGGAGAGGAUGUUUUUGGCGCGGCGCCUUCCGGAGUUCCUUGGAACAGGACGCCACAGAGGGUGAGAGCCCCGUACGGUCGGCCGCCAAACCUUCAAAAAAAACUCCUUCGACGAGUCGAGUAGUUUGGGAAUGCUGCUCAAAAUGGGAGGUAAAUUUCUUCUAAAGCUAAAUACCGGCCAGAGACCGAUAGCGCACAAGUAGAGUGAUCGAAAGAUGAAAAGCACCUUGAAAAGAGGGUUAAACAGUACGUGAAAUUGUUGAAAGGGAAGCGCCUGCGACCAGACUCGCGCCCCGCGGACCAGCCGGCGUUCUCGCCGGUGCACUCCGCGGGGUGCGGGCCAGCAUCGGUUUUCCCUGGGGGAGAAAGGCUGCGGGAACGUAGCUCCUUCGGGAGUGUUAUAGCCCGUGGCGCCAUGCCCCAGGGGGGACCGAGGACCGCGCUUCGGCAAGGAUGCUGGCGUAAUGGUCGUCGGCGACCCGUCU